AGACCAUAAUGAGGACAUAGUCUCAUCAUGUCCUUAUAUCGUUCCCAAGCUUCGAAAAGUGACUCUCUUUCUGUCUGUCUGAACGUGGUUAUGUAAUUUCUUAGCAC